GAGUUUGAUCAUGGCUCAGAUUGAACGCUGGCGGCAGGCCUAACACAUGCAAGUCGAACGGUAACAGGAAGAAGCUUGCUUCUUUGCUGACGAGUGGCGGACGGGUGAGUAAUGUCUGGGAAACUGCCUGAUGGAGGGGGAUAACUACUGGAAACGGUAGCUAAUACCGCAUAACGUCGCAAGACCAAAGAGGGGGACCUUCGGGCCUCUUGCCAUCGGAUGUGCCCAGAUGGGAUUAGCUAGUAGGUGGGGUAACGGCUCACCUAGGCGACGAUCCCUAGCUGGUCUGAGAGGAUGACCAGCCACACUGGAACUGAGACACGGUCCAGACUCCUACGGGAGGCAGCAGUGGGGAAUAUUGCACAAUGGGCGCAAGCCUGAUGCAGCCAUGCCGCGUGUAUGAAGAAGGCCUUCGGGUUGUAAAGUACUUUCAGCGGGGAGGAAGGGAGUAAAGUUAAUACCUUUGCUCAUUGACGUUACCCGCAGAAGAAGCACCGGCUAACUCCGUGCCAGCAGCCGCGGUAAUACGGAGGGUGCAAGCGUUAAUCGGAAUUACUGGGCGUAAAGCGCACGCAGGCGGUUUGUUAAGUCAGAUGUGAAAUCCCCGGGCUCAACCUGGGAACUGCAUCUGAUACUGGCAAGCUUGAGUCUCGUAGAGGGGGGUAGAAUUCCAGGUGUAGCGGUGAAAUGCGUAGAGAUCUGGAGGAAUACCGGUGGCGAAGGCGGCCCCCUGGACGAAGACUGACGCUCAGGUGCGAAAGCGUGGGGAGCAAACAGGAUUAGAUACCCUGGUAGUCCACGCCGUAAACGAUGUCGACUUGGAGGUUGUGCCCUUGAGGCGUGGCUUCCGGAGCUAACGCGUUAAGUCGACCGCCUGGGGAGUACGGCCGCAAGGUUAAAACUCAAAUGAAUUGACGGGGGCCCGCACAAGCGGUGGAGCAUGUGGUUUAAUUCGAUGCAACGCGAAGAACCUUACCUGGUCUUGACAUCCACGGAAGUUUUCAGAGAUGAGAAUGUGCCUUCGGGAACCGUGAGACAGGUGCUGCAUGGCUGUCGUCAGCUCGUGUUGUGAAAUGUUGGGUUAAGUCCCGCAACGAGCGCAACCCUUAUCCUUUGUUGCCAGCGGUCCGGCCGGGAACUCAAAGGAGACUGCCAGUGAUAAACUGGAGGAAGGUGGGGAUGACGCCAAGUCAUCAUGGCCCUUACGACCAGGGCUACACACGUGCUACAAUGGCGCAUACAAAGAGAAGCGACCUCGCGAGAGCAAGCGGACCUCAUAAAGUGCGUCGUAGUCCGGAUUGGAGUCUGCAACUCGACUCCAUGACGUCGGAAUCGCUAGUAAUCGUGGAUCAGAAUGCCACGGUGAAUACGUUCCCGGGCCUUGUACACACCGCCCGUCACACCAUGGGAGUGGGUUGCAAAAGAAGUAGGUAGCUUAACCUUCGGGAGGGCGCUUACCACUUUGUGAUUCAUGACUGGGGUGAAGUCGUAACAAGGUA
rnacentral:rRNA from 1 species